UUUGGAUUUUACUUGGAUAUGUUUUUACAUACCAAAUACAAUGUUGGUUGUGGAAUCACUUAGAAGACAAGUAUUUUUGACAAUUAUUUUUUUUUUUUUUUUGAAGAAAAGAUAGAGCAUACUCUUUACUAAUUUUUGACAAUUAUAAUAAUGUAAUCUAGUUUUUAUUUAUUUAUUUAUAGCUAGGUCUGUAUUACUCUUUAGUUUAUAGUAAAAAAACAAAAAUCAUUCACUGAUUAUUUCAUCCAAAUGGCUGAUUAUAUAUAAUGGAAUGACUUUUCUUUAAAAACAAAAAAUAAUGGAAUAACUAAUUAAUUAAUUAAUUUAAUUUUAAGUUUUUACUUCAAAAAAAAAAAAAACCAAUAGUAUCAACAUUACAAUUUACAAGGUUUGUUUUCAUUUGUUAUAACACUAUUAUUUCUCAAACAAAAUAAAAUUCAAACAAUACACAUAUUUUUCUAAAGUGGUGGAAAAAAAAAAUCCUAGACUUUUAUAGAAAAAUUGACCUUAUAUAUACUUAAAAGCAAAGAAAUAUAUAUUAUAAUUUCCACCAUAUACAUUUCAUAAAAAUAGUAAUAAAAUCUUUUGAAAUGUCUAGAUAAAUUUGUGUCAAAAAAAAAAAAAAAAAAAAAAGAAAUGUCUAGAUAAAGUCCAUAAAGAAGAAAAACUCGAAUUAAACUUUGUUCGCAUUUUUCAUUUUUCAUACACUAAAACCCACAAAUUCUAAAAUAGACCUGGUCUACAUUAAGUUUAUUGUAGACCAACUACUGUCACGUGAGCUUUCUACGGGCAAUUAAUUUUCGUUGUUUCCCUCGCUUCAUUACUCUCAUCUUAGCUCUACCAAUUUUACUCUGCCCCAUUUUCUCUCUCUACCAUCUGCAUUUUUUUUUUUAUUUUUCACUUCAAAGAUCGAAUUACUCUCUAUAUGCACACUUUCAAGCUCUGUGAUCUUCUUCUUCAAUGGUGAAACGCAAGGUGGUGGAACGCCUCUUAGAGCGCGAGGAGGUGGAACACAAAACCGUGGUAAUUAGGGUUUUGAUUAAAUUUAUCAGAAGGUGUUUGUGGUGGCUGAGUUGGGCGAGUGAGGCGAGGGUGUGGUUGGCGCGAGUUAAAAGUCUAGGUUUAAGUGAAGUUUGUUAGGGAGUAUAAGAUGUAUAAUGUUGUUGUUGGUGCGACUUCGAUUUUUGAAGGAAUGUAUUAUCGUAGUAGUUGUCUGCUUCCUGCUUCUGGCAAUGUCAAGAUUAAUUCUAAUAAAGCUUUAAUGGAAGGUGUGGGUGUGGGGCUUGAGGCUGUUGGUAGGAACAGCGAAGGGGAGUUGUUGGCUGUUAAACUUGAUGGAGAAUGAUUAAAAACCUUACAAAAUUAUCUAAUUUCCACAACCUCUCCUCCUACUAAUACCAAAUUCCUCCAGUGUACCAAAUUAUAUAAGAGUUUUAUGUUGCUGAAAUGCACAACUCGGGUAGCAUUGACGCUAAAAUAUUAUACAGCUCAUUUCACAUAUCAGAGUAAAAUCUUACUUUUACACCCUGUUCCACAUAUGUGAUGGUUGCGAGAAUGCGAGGUUCGAAAUGCUAGCUUGAAAUCUGAGUUAUGUGAAAAUCAAGCUCAUAUGUGAUGCUUGAAUGUUUGUAAUGCUAUCAAGGAGACGAAAUGGCCGUUGAUGAUAUUAUACUUGCAGGAGAGCAAUGUGAGUGUUUUUCUUUUAAUCAUGUUAGACAAAAUGGCAAUGUGAAUGCGAGUUUCCUGCUAAUGAUGUAGAACAAUCCUUUGCAAACUCUUUCCCCAAGGCUUUUUAGCUUUUGUGGAUUUAGACUCUGGUUGAUUUAAUAAUAUUGCUUCCAUGUUUUCCCCUAAAAAAAAGCUUUAUGGGCAUGAUAUAUAAGUGACAAAAGUGUAAGUUGGGUUAGUUUAAUCCAUUAAUUUUACUUAAUUAGUUUGAUUAGUUGUA